UACAGAGGGUGCGAGCGUUGUCCGGAAUCACUGGGCGUAAAGGGCGCGUAGGUGGCCCGACAAGUCAGUGGUGAAAGUUCGACGCUUAACGUCGAAUCGGCCACUGAUACUGUUGGGCUGGAGCACUGUAGAGGCUCAUGGAAUUCCGGGUGUAGCGGUGGAAUGCGUAGGGAUCCGGAAGAACACCGGUGGCGAAGGCGGUGAGCUGGGCAGUUGCUGACACUGAGGCGCGACAGCGUGGGGAGCAAACAGG
rnacentral:rRNA from 1 species